rnacentral:rRNA from 1 species
AGGAUGAACGCUGGCGGUCUGCUUAACACAUGCAAGUCGAACGGAGUAGAAAUACUUAGUGGCGGACGGGUGAGUAACGCGUGAGAAUCUACCUUCAGGACGGAGACAACAGUUGGAAACGACUGCUAACCCCCGAUGUACUGAAAAGGCAAAUAUUUAUAGCCUGAAGAAGAGCUCGCGUCCGAUUAGCUAGUUGGAGAGGUAAAAGCUCACCAAGGCGACGAUCGGUAGCUGGUCUGAGAGGACGAUCAGCCACACUGGGACUGAGACACGGCCCAGACUCCUACGGGAGGCAGCAGUGGGAUUUCGCAAUGGGCGAAGCCUGACGGAGCAAGACCGCGUGGGGGAAGAAGGCUCUUGGGUUGUAAACCCCUUUUCUCUGGGAAGAACGCAAUGACGGUACCAGAGGAAUCAGCAUCGGCUAACUCCGUGCCAGCAGCCGC